rnacentral:rRNA from 1 species
GGAAACAGGUGCUAAUACCGCAUAACUUGGAAAACCACAUGGUUUUCCAAUAAAAGAUGGUUUCAGCUAUCACUUUGGGAUGGGCCCGCGGUGCAUUAGCUAGUUGGUAAGGUAACGGCUUACCAAGGCGAUGAUGCAUAGCCGAGUUGAGAGACUGAUCGGCCACAAUGGAACUGAGACACGGUCCAUACUCCUACGGGAGGCAGCAGUAGGGAAUCUUCCACAAUGGGCGCAAGCCUGAUGGAGCAACACCGCGUGAGUGAAGAAGGGUUUCGGCUCGUAAAACUCUGUUGUUGGAGAAGAACGUGCGUAAGAGUAACUGUUUACGCAGUGACGGUAUCCAACCAGAAAGUCACGGCUAACUACGUGCCAGCAGCCGCGGUAAUACGUAGGUGGCAAGCGUUAUCCGGAUUUAUUGGGCGUAAAGCGAGCGCAGGCGGCUGCUUAGGUCUGAUGUGAAAGCCUUCGGCUUAACUGAAGAAGUGCAUCGGAAACCGGGCGACUUGAGUGCAGAAGAGGACAGUGGAACUCCAUGUGUAGCGGUGGAAUGCGUA